GACGAACGCUGGCGGCGUGCUUAACACAUGCAAGUCGAACGGAAAGGCCCUGCUUUUGUGGGGUGCUCGAGUGGCGAACGGGUGAGUAACACGUGAGUAACCUGCCCUUGACUUUGGGAUAACUUCAGGAAACUGGGGCUACUAUCGGAUAGGAGCUCCUGCUGCAUGGUGGGGGUUGGAUAGUUUCGGCGGUUGGGGAUGGACUCGCGGCUUAUCAGCUUGUUGGUGGGGUAGUGGCUUACCAAGGCUUUGACGGGUAGCCGGCCUGAGAGGGUGACCGGGCACAAUAGGACUGAGAUACGGCGCAGAGUCCUACGGGGGGCAGCAGUGGGAAAUAUGGCACAAUGGGCGGAAGCCUGAGGCAGCAACGCCGCGUGCGGGAUGACGGCCUUCGGGUAGUAAACCGCUUUCGCCUGUGACGAAGCGUGAGUGACGGUAAUGGGUGAAGAAGCACCGGCUAACUACGUG
rnacentral:rRNA from 1 species